rnacentral:rRNA from 1 species
GCCCUUCGGGGUACUCGAGCGGCGAACGGGUGAGUAACACGUGAGUAAUCUGCCCCAGGCUCUGGGAUAGCCACCGGAAACGGUGAUUAAUACCGGAUACGACAACCGAUUGCAUGAUCUGGUUGUGGAAAGUUUUUCGGCCUGGGAUGUGCUCGCGGCCUAUCAGCUUGUUGGUGAGGUAAUGGCUCACCAAGGCUUCGACGGGUAGCCGGCCUGAGAGGGUGACCGGCCACACUGGGACUGAGACACGGCCCAGACUCCUACGGGAGGCAGCAGUGGGGAAUAUUGGACAAUGGGCGGAAGCCUGAUCCAGCAACGCCGCGUGAGGGAUGACGGCCUUCGGGUUGUAAACCUCUUUCAGCACAGACGAAGCGCAAGUGACGGUAUGUGCAGAAGAAGGACCGGCCAACUACGUGCCAGCAGCCGCGGUAAUACGUAGGGUCCGAGCGUUGUCCGGAAUUAUUGGGCGUAAAGGGCUCGUAGGCGGUCUGUCGCGUCGGGAGUGAAAACCAGGUGCUUAACACCUGGCCUGCUUUCGAUACGGGCAGACUAGAGGUACUCAGGGGAGAAUGGAAUUCCUGGUGUAGCGGUGAAAUGCGCAGAUAUCAGGAGGAACACCGGUGGCGAAGGCGGUUCUCUGGGAGUAUCCUGACGCUGAGGAGCGAAAGUGUGGGGAGCGAACAGGAUUAGAUACCCUGGUAGUCCACACCGUAAACGUUGGGCGCUAGGUGUGGGACACA